rnacentral:rRNA from 1 species
AUCGAUGAAGAACGCAGCGAAAUGCGAUAAGUAAUGCGAAUUGCAGAAUUCAGUGAGUCAUCGAAUCUUUGAACGCACAUUGCGCCCUUUAGUAUUCUGAAGGGCAUGCCUGUUCGAGCGUCAUUAUCACUAAUCAAGCCCGGCUUGCUGUUGGACCUCUUGUCGUUAAAAGACAGGUCCCAAAGAUAAUGACGGUGUUAUUAGAACCCUAGAUGCAACGAGCUUUAACCAGCACGCAUGAUAGUGGUCUUUUAACCCGGUCUUUUUUAACCAAUUUUUUAAGGUUGACCUCGGAUCAGGUAGGAAUACCCGCUGAACUUAAGCAUAUCAAUAAGCGGAGGAAAAGAAACCAACAGGGAUUACCUCAGUAACGGCGAGUGAAGCGGUAAUAGCUCAAAUUUGAAAUCUGGCUCUUUCAGGGUCCGAGUUGUAAUUUGUAGAGGAUGUUUCGGGCACAGUUACGGUUUAAAUUUCUUGGAACAGAAUGUCAAAGAGGGUGAGAGUCCCGUCUUGAACCGAUUACUUCGUCCAUGUGAAACUCCUUCGACGAGUCGAGUUGUUUGGGAAUGCAGCUCAAAAUGGGUGGUAAAUUUCAUCUAAAGCUAAAUAUUGGCCAGAGACCGAUAGCGCACAAGUAGAGUGAUCGAAAGAUGAAAAGCACUUUGAAAAGAGAGUUAAACAGUAUGUGAAAUUGUUGAAAGGGAAGCGCUUGCAAUCAGACUUGAGCUUAACAGUUCCCCCUUCGUUCUCGUUGGGUUAUUCUGUUUUGUCCAGGCCAACAUCAGUUCGGGUGGUUGGUUAAAGACUUUAGGAAUGUAUUUACCCUUCGGGGUCGACUUAUAGCCUAGAGUGUCAUGCAGCCUACCUGGACUGAGGAACGCGCUUCGGCUCGGAUGUUGGCGUAAUGGUUGUAAGCGACCCGUCUUGAAACACGG